CCUGGGCAACAGAGUGAGACUCUGUCUCCAAAAAAUAAAAUAAAAUAAAAUGGUAAUAAAGAUAAUACUUUACAUUUAUAAGAUCUUUAUGCCUUCUCAAGAUUAAGGGGGUCAGCUCUUCCGGGGUCACUGUCUGCAGGCACUCAAAAUGGUCCAGCAUUUGACAUAUCGUCGUAGGCUUUCCUACAAUACAGCCUCUAACAAAACUAGGCUGUCCCGAACCCUUGGUAAUAGAAUUGUUUACCUUUAUACCAAGGAGGUUGGAAAGCACCAAAAUCGGCACGUGGUGUGUGCCCAGGUAGACUUCGAGGGGUUCAUGCUGUGAGACCUAAAGUUCUUAUGAGGUUGUCUAAAGCAAACAUGCCAGCAGGGCCUAUGGUGGUUCCAUGUGUGCUAAAUAUGUUCAUGACAGGAUCAAGCGUGCUUUCCUUAUCGAGGAGCAGAAAAUCGUUGUGAAGGUGUUGAAGGCCCAAGCACAGAGCCAGAAAGCUAAAUAAGAAAAUGAACCUUUAUUGAGGAAUAAAAAUUAAAAGGCUUAAAAAAAAAAAGAUUUAGAGGUCAGACUUCAGUAAUUAAGUUAAAAAAAAAAAAAGAUUUAGGGGUCAGACCAAAUAUAUGGUUUAAUAACUUGAUCAGAAAAACUUCUAUUUUCUUGAAUUGCCUAGAGUAGAAUUUCCUAAAGAGGGCUUUUAUAGAACUAAAGGUUUAAUGGUACAUAGAGAGGGGUUCCAUGGUCAGGUAACUCUGGAAAAUACUGUGCUAAGCAUCAGUAAAUGAGUUUCUUUUCUGCAAGACUUCUCUGAGCCUGUGCAAUGUAAGCCUAUGCCUACUUAAAGAGGAAGAUGUAAUAAGCAGUAUUUCCCUAACUUACUAGUUUUAUAUGUAACUCUCAUCUCAGAAAACCUGGGAUUAGUGUUUUAAGGAACAUACUUUAGGAAAAUCCUAAACUAAUAUCUGGGAGGAAAUACUGGUAUUUAAGAUUCAAGUGUUUGCUGUCUACUCAGAUGGACAAUAAAAUUGCCAACCUUCAUUUGUGUAGACUUGGCACUAUCAUUAUUCAAAGAAUAGCAGCCUUCUGUUCAGUGCCUUAUACCAUAAAAAUGUAAACUCAUUUUUUAUUUUAAAUGUUCUAUUAAGAUUAUGUGUUCUUUAUAAUAAAGAAAAGUCAGUACAUACUAAAUGUCCCUUAAGAUGGUAAUGCUUAAGUAAAUUAUGUUACAUAUAUAGGAUAAAUAUCUGUGUCAAAAAAUAUUCUUAGAAGAAUACAUAUUGAGACAGGAACAUUCUCAAAUUAUAUUGGGAAGUAAAGGCCAUAAAACAGAAUAUACAGUGUUGUCCCAAUAUUGUAAAAUAAGCAAAUAAAAAGCAAAACCAGAAAGGACUGGAAGGAACAAAAACAUCAAGAUGUUAACCUUAUGAAUAAAUCAAUUAAAACCUCUAUCUCAUUUAAAUAUUAAUGUAUAUGCUACCAUGUGUAG